GGCAGAGAGAUGGGGGCAGAUGGGCAUGGGGGAGGGGUGCAGAGAAUUGUCGAGUUUGGCAGAGUGUGUGGCAGUGAGAGAGUAGCACAGAAAGAGCAUGACACAAAAUUUUCCCAAAUGCCUGCUGCUCAGCUUGGUUGAGCGUGGAGUUAUGGGGAAAGGAGAGAGGAUAGGUACCAUGUCUGGGCUCUCUGCUUCCUAUUGGUCUGGAGCUCUGGCCUUGGUGGCUCCAAUCAUAUGAUGGGAACCAGUGGGAAAGAUUGCUGGUGACCAGCAUGACUCCACCAACAGCCAUGGAGCUCAUGAUUGAUCCUCUUGGCUGCCUUAUCAGGAUCACCCUGGAGCCCUUUCAGAGGACAUCUGCCUCCUCCAUCCUGGAAAGUCUGAAAUACCAGUCCCAUUUCCUCACUGCCACGUUCUGUUACUGAUGUGGGGGGGUGUUGAGAUGGAAAAAGGCUAGAAACCACCACAGUGCCUGUGCCCCCCUCUCUGCUCCAGCUAGUACUCCUCCCCAAGAGCCACUGGGAGGACCAGCAGUCACAGCUAUCCACCUGAAAUGCACACUCUCAGCCUCUGGAAACAAAGAUUUACAAGCUUGGGCCUGUUCCCUGGAGAUCCUUCUUCCUGUGGGCCUGGGGAGCAGUCUAGUUGUGUGUAGUUCUUUAAAAGUUCCUUUCCGAGGUGGUCCUGAUGUGCACAUGACUUAGAGGAUCAGUAAUCUAGAUGAUAACUCCAAAUGCAGACCAGGGCCCUGUAGGCUUGGCCACCUCCCCUGGGAACUAGUUGGAGAUGCAUAUUGUCAACCCUGCCCCAGACCUGCUGGGGAGGGCAUCCAACACUGUUUCACAAGCUCUCCUGAGGAUUCUUCCCUAGACCAGUGCAGCUCAAACAUACGGGAGCACAGAAAUCCCUUGGGGAUAUUAAAAAUAGAGAUUCUGAUCCGUGAGUCUGGGGCAGAGCUACAGUCUACAUUUCUAAGAAGCACCCAGGUCAUGUUGCUGGUCCACAGAUCACACUUGGAGUAGCAAGGGUCUAGAGACCAUAGACGUACCUUCAGAAAUAAGGGAAAAGUAAGUGUGUGUGUGUGUGUGUGUGUGUGUGUGUGUGUGUGUGUUGGGGGGUGAUCUGAGCAGCCAAAGUAAAUUUCCAGAGUCCCUGGGCCUCUCUUAGAACUCACUCUUACUUUUAGACCAGCUGCCCCAAGCUAACUGGGCUCAAUAGUCAUCUAAGUGCCAGAUCACAGCUGACUGGGGUAAGAGGGGUGGUCUCAGAGGUAGGCACUCUGGUAUGAGUGACAGGUACCAGCAAACACAUACUCAAAAGGCUAGCCAGAAGUCUGUUUUGUGUGCCAUAAACUUCCUGCUCUUCAUAUUGGUGCCAAGUCAGUAAAAAAUAAAUAAAUAAAUGAUGGUUACAUUCAGAUUAAUGCAAGAAAGUAUGCAAUCCAUUUUACAAAAAUUGCAUAAAAUGGGUGAACACAAAAAAUAAUUCUGAUGUGUCUGAAGGGAUAAGCACCAUUUUGUGGGUGUAAAGUAGUUUAUUCCUCUCUAAUGCCUAGGUGAAUGUGAGUGUGUUUUUAACAUCUUCAAUCUGACUGCCAUUUAUGUUGAUUAGAACCCAUUUUCAUGUCUAAUCUGUAUCAUUUUUAUAAUGUUUGUUUUUAAGAAAGUAAGGGCUUUGGAUUAGAAGGUUUCAGAUGCCUCUCACAGAUCUAAGACUCUGUCCGUGAAAUGUGUAUAAUUAUCUUUAAGUGAUAUCAUUAAUGCAUUAGAUGCAGAAACAUGCAUAUCAGUCUUUACAUAUCAAUUAAGUCACAAUGAGAUGUAGAUUAUUAGAAAAGAUGUGUUAAUAUAACAAGAUUAACUUAUUUUUAGGUUGUCUACUGCUAAAUCAAGUUAGCUAACUCUGUAAAGUUGUCAGAAAUCUCAGAAUAAAUUGAGCUACUUUCUGUGUACAAAUUAAUAUAAAAAGAACUAAGGGGAAAAGUAAUUGAGGGACUAUAGAAAAUAAUCUCAAAGACAUUCUACAAUAGCAAUACUUUAAUGGAGUGUACUCUUUUGGACAGGUUUAAUAAGUUGUUGAGAUUUUUGUCCCUCAAGAGGUGCAGAAUUUCAUUAUGCAUUUCUGUGGAGUGUUUGAGACCAUACUUUUUAGGUAAAUUGUGUAGUUUCCAGAAGAGACCAAAACAAACUAUGCAUCACAGAGAUUUUAUCUUUCAUUUUUAUUGCUCUACCUAUUGCUACUUACCAUAAUUAAAUGUUGUCUGAGUUGAAUUUAAUGUCACAAUGCCCUUUGAAUGUAAAUAGCAGUUGAGUAGUUGGAGCCCUUGUGUUCCAUUGUCAUGAGUACUGACAGGCUUGGGCUGAGUGCUGCCUAUCCUCACCUGGUGGCCAUUAGGCCAGAAUAAGGCUUGGAGGCAGUGGUGCUAGAAUGCACCCAACCGAGCUCCCAUAUCCAGAAUGCAGGCUUAGAAAUGAAAACUUCAAAAAUAUGUCAAUAAAACCCUAGCUGUCCUGUUAAUAAACAUAUAUUUUUACAUGUUCGAAAAUAAUUUUCCAUUUUUAGCAUUGAUUUAAUAAAGUUUCAAUAUAUACAAAUGUUAUGUAUUUGCUGAAAAUCAAUAAAUUUCAAGGUGGCAAUGAUUUAUGAAUAGGGCAGAACUAAGAUGCAUAGAAAAAUACUGGGAAAGUGGCAUAAUACAUGUGGCCUUUUGAAAGCCAUUUGGAAUGUUGAGGCUGUUGCUGGAGUUGUAAGAGGAAAUCUGAAAGGCUCUGAGAGCUAUGUUUAGCAUGUCAGCGAGAUUUAGCUGAUUUAGUUCAUCUAUUCAAGAACAAGAGUGGUAGAAGGAACAACCACCGCAGCUAGUUUCUAGAGGUUUCUGAAGAAGUGGUAUUCUAAUGGGCUUUUUAGAUCAGAGUUGUGUGUUUCUAUGAGAACAAUCCUUAUGGUGGAAAGAGAAGCUGACCUUAAUCCAAGAUAGCUAAGCAGAAUUGGUUAAAUUGGAUAAUGUUAUAUCCUGGUGAGGAAAAUAAUUUCAGCUGGAGUUUGGACAGUCCUAGAUUGGUCAUGGUUUCUCAUUGAGAAGCUUGUCCCUGGUUUAAUAAAAUAAUAAAUUUAAGCUAAAAAAUAAAUUUGUCUAUUAGUGACCCUGGUUGUCACUCUAAUAGAGAUGACAGGAUUAAUCAUGAUAGUGUGCAAACAUCACUAUGAUUGUAAACUGGGUCUUUAAAGUAAACUGCUGGGCAGUUCUAUUUCAUUUUGUUCCAGUUGGUUUUGUUUCAUUAAGUACAAAAUGAGUAUUUUACUGUGUUUUAGUAUUGGAAUUCUGGCACAAGGUGGGACCCCAGUACAUGCCUACUGCUAGGAUUAUCAUUUCCAGAUUGUCUCCUCAUGGCUACUAAAUGCCAGCUACUUACUGGCUAGAACCUUCUGGCAAUGGAAAAGUCUUUGUUAGAAUUCUCCAAAACCCCAUUAAGAAUUAGUUUUUUAAAAAACAAACAAAUAAACCACACAACAGUUGAGAUGAUCGUGUGGUUUUCUUCCUUAUUCUGUUAACAUGGUGAAUUUCACGAAUUGAUUUUUUGGGAACAUUAUUGAUUUUCAAAUGUUAAACCUGCCUUUCCUUCUUGAAAUCAACCCCACUUGGUCAUGUAUUAGUGCCCCUUCUAUGUAUUUCCAGAUUCAAUUUACUUAUAUAUUUGUGAGGAUUUUGGGGUAUAUGUUCAUGGAGUUGUUUCUGUGGGAAAGUUUAAAUUUU